GCCAGUGCGCCGUGAACUUUUUCUUUCCAGUCGUCGAUUGCGCUGCAUGGAGGACACGCGUUGGUAUGUAACUACGUGAUCGAUGUCAACCAGUUACCUUUACGUAAGCAUCCAAGCUCGAGUCUUUCACGGCGCCACGCAAUUACGGCAAAUUGCUGUUUGCCUCCAAGUAUCAGCGGAGAACGCGUCUCUCGCUCGGAACUUUGGCGCGUAGCCGGUUUUUCCGCAGCUUUCCGUGACUCCAGUUCGCGUUGGUAUCGGCUCCGUGUCCCGUUCCUCGACCGGCUGGACGAGAACGAGCCGAGUCGUAAGUCGACGGCACGUUGCAGGAAGCGCAUCGCGUUCCUGGCCAUCGAUGCGGAUAAUUUCAUUCGUUUGUACUCGCUCGUUCGUCUCGUUCGCGCUCCGAGGCUGCUGAAAUUAACGCUUUGCCGAACCUACGCGAACGUUUCUCCUAUUUCACUUUUUCACAAUUGUAUGUAGUGUGAAAGUAUGUACAUACUCCUUACUGUAAUCUCCGAUAUCUCCCGACUUUUCCACCAUUAUUUAAUUAAUUUUCAACGGUGCGAUAUUCCUCGGCGCGAACGUAACGUUUGAAUUAUUUUUAUAAUUGUUAUAUUACAUAUCAAUUUUCUAUCGAUUAAUUUUAUAUGUUUGAACAACGUUUGCUAAUAACGCUUACAGCGACGAUAUAAACGGUAAAACUACGAUUGAAACUGCAACGUGUAAUGCGGCAUAUUCGUCGUAUGAAUAUUUUGGAAGAAACGUAUACAUAUAUACGCGAAGUAUUUCUCGUUUGAUUUAUCUUUAUUUUCGAAUCUUCGAAUUUACGUAGGUCUCUAACGUUCACGGUGUAAUGGUACGCGCAGUAAAAACACGACGGAAAAUGAGCUACGAUGCUGAGAAUAAUUUGAAGCGAUACGCGCAAUUUGCGCGUGCUUAAAUUUUACUAUGCGCGUCAAAUCGAUAAGAUUUUGGCUUCGACAUCGAUGAUGUUUCUCGAAGCGAAAGAAAUACGAUAAUUGGAAGCGAAAGUAGGUCAAAGUCAUAAUUUCCUUCGUUUCGAAUUUAUGUCCAAGGUACACGAAGCUUGGAAUUUAGCAAUUUUUGCCCAUUUUCCUGAGCGCAACCGGACCAAAGAAGUUUCUUCGCGAUUUUGCCUCUCUCCGUAUAAAUCAGAGAUUCGGGACGAAGGAAAGAACACCUCGGAAAACGAUGGGCAGCAGGGGACGGAAUAGAAACGAGGCUUUAAUUACUUAGAGUGACCCGCGCCUGGCGUUCCGGCGCCGCUCGGCCAACAACCCUUUGACAACUUCGUGUCGGCGUUGUUGAAAUUUUAAUCAACGCUCUUCUCGCUCGUUCUCUCCCUACGAUGCAUAGAAGAGCCUCAUCCCUCGAGAUAAAGCCAGCAUAGUGGCGCGAUAAGGAGCUACGAUGCGCAGAAGGGGUUGAAAGAACGCGCGAAGAAGACCAGCGGCGGAAGCGCUUGUGCCUCGAAUAGCCGAUAUCGAUUUAUUAUUAAAAUAUACAGCGAGGGAAUUCUCGCGUGCCACGAGCAUCGCAUGCCUUUCCAUCGAAAUUGUUUCGUUUUCCAAGCGUGCAUCGGUCAACAGGCUUUUUAUCUUGUCAAACACUCGGUCUGCGCUCACGUUGAUAAACUUUCGAAGGCCAAGAAAAAUAAACCGACUCGAAGAUUAACAGACACGGAAAUAGGAGGUACGCGUUGGCCAAGAUCGAUGCCGAUAAUCGUUCACAUGACGCAAUUUGAGAAAACGGCCGCAAUAUCGAUCGCGACGAGCCAUCUCGCGCUCUUAUUUCGAUUUAAGUUAAUAUCGUAACACGUAGCGGAAAAUGUCGCGAAUAAGAUUCGAAAGUGGAUCCAGUUUGAGGUCAUCGGCCUCUUUUUUAUACAAAAGCUAGAAUCUAGUUAGAGAUUCGUUUCGCUAAGUAUAUGUCGGAGAUGGAGAGACACCGGAGCCUUCCGUCGAAAACCGGGGAAAAACCCCUAAUAUUGUAGUUUGGAUUCCGCCAUAGCCGUAGUUAAACAAUCACCGUCCUUCAGCCCGAUUGUAAUUGCCUGCAAUCUAUGAGAAUGAGUUUGGAUUCGAGGUGACAACCAGUCACCGAACGUAGUCGCGGUCAAGGGACGAACAUUUUCUAACAAAGUCAUGGAAAAGUCUAUAGCCCUCCAUAAAAAGAAAUAGUUGUAACGGCACACGACAGUAAGCACACUAAUGGUUUCUGUCUCAUGGCUCGCCAUAAGCAGACCCUAUUUUAU
rnacentral:lncRNA from 1 species